AGCGCCGGCGGUGUAAGGCGAACAUCGCUGCCCGGAAAGCAGAAGAUGCGGGUUCGAGUCCCGCCGGUGCAA
rfam:Heligmosomoides polygyrus genome assembly, scaffold: HPBE_scaffold0000598